ACGAACGCUGGCGGCGUGCUUAACACAUGCAAGUCGAACGGAAAGGUCCUGCUUUUGUGGGGUGCUCGAGUGGCGAACGGGUGAGUAACACGUGAGUAACCUGCCCUUGACUUUGGGAUAACUUCAGGAAACUGGGGCUAAUACCGGAUAGGAGCUCCUGCUGCAUGGUGGGGGUUGGAAAGUUUCGGCGGUUGGGGAUGGACUCGCGGCUUAUCAGCUUGUUGGUGGGGUAGUGGCUUACCAAGGCUUUGACGGGUAGCCGGCCUGAGAGGGUGACCGGCCACAUUGGGACUGAGAUACGGCCCAGACUCCUACGGGAGGCAGCAGUGGGGAAUAUUGCACAAUGGGCGGAAGCCUGAUGCAGCAACGCCGCGUGCGGGAUGACGGCCUUCGGGUUGUAAACCGCUUUCGCCUGUGACGAAGCGUGAGUGGCGGUAAUGGGUAAAGAAGCACCGGCUAACUACGUG
rnacentral:rRNA from 1 species